GACGAACGCUGGCGGCGUGCUUAACACAUGCAAGUCGAACGGAAAGGCCCUGCUUUUGUGGGGUACUCGAGUGGCGAACGGGUGAGUAACACGUGAGUAACCUGCCCUUGACUUUGGGAUAACUUCAGGAAACUGAGGCUAAUACCGGAUAGGAGCUCCUGCUGCAUGGUGGGGGUUGGAAAGUUUCGGCGGUUGGGGAUGGACUCGCGGCUUAUCAGCUUGUUGGUGGGGUAGUGGCUUACCAAGGCUUUGACGGGUAGCCGGCCUGAGAGGGUGACCGGCCACAUUGGGACUGAGAUACGGCCCAGACUCCUACGGGAGGCAGCAGUGGGGAAUAUUGCACAAUGGGCGGAAGCCUGAUGCAGCAACGCCGCGUGCGGGAUGACGGCCUUCGGGUUGUAAACCGCUUUCGCCUGUGACGAAGCGUGAGUGACGGUAAUGGGUAAAGAAGCACCGGCUAACUACGUG
rnacentral:rRNA from 1 species